rnacentral:rRNA from 1 species
UACCAGCACCCCGAGUGGUCGGGACGUUUAUUGGGCCUAAAGCAUCCGUAGCCGGUUCUACAAGUCUUCCGUUAAAUCCAGCUGCUUAACAGAUGGGCUGCGGAAGAUACUAUGGAGCUAGGAGGCGGGAGAGGCAAGCGGUACUCGAUGGGUAGGGGUAAAAUCCGUUGAUCCAUUGAAGACCACCAGUGGCGAAGGCGGCUUGCCAGAACGCGCUCGACGGUGAGGGAUGAAAGCUG